CUGACCACUAGGCAGCAUAUACACUAAAAUUGGAAUGACAGAGAAGAUUAGCAUGACCGCUCCACAAGAAUGGCACACAAGUUCAUGAAGUGUUCCAUAUUUGU